rnacentral:lncRNA from 1 species
UCCUACUUCCAUAAGGUGGCUUCGGGCAGGAAAAAAGAAAUUCCAUUGCCUCAUUUUCGGAGGAUGGCGUCGAGUAUUCUUGUGAGAAAGAUAUUGCUGGUAAUUGCUCCAUGUCUUCUUCAGAGAUCUCUUUGGUUGCUCUUGCUUCCCUUCCAUUUCCAUUAAUUGGAGUGCCAUUUAUGCAGAUAGCGCAGUGGACCUUAGUUCCUCUUGCUAGACUUUCAUGAAGAGGAAAUUAGGGAUGCAGUAUUCUCUUUGGGUGGAUCUAUGGCUCCAGGACCAGACUUCUUCUCCUUCUCCUUCUUCCAAAUGUACUAGAUCUCGAUUCUCGAUCAAGGAUGAUCUGUUGGCUCUCUUGGAGGACUUUUGCAAGGGUCGAUCUAGACCUUAGCAGACUAAACUUUGCAUUUAUAUUCUCUUAUCAGCCUCUUUAAUAACUGAGAGAUUGCAACUUUGUUUCACUACAGCUCCUAUUCAACCUCUGCUUACUGUCAUUUGCAAAGUCUCGAGCUUUGGUUUAAUUGAAAUGCUUUCAUCUCGUUUUGUUGAAUUUGCAAUGGCACAGUAUGUUGUCUUUCAAGGAUUGUUCUUGUUUCUUCUUUUGGUGGAGUCUUACAACAAAGGAAGGAAGCAUUCUGAUAGAAAGCUAAAUGGAAUCAAAGACCAGUCUGAUAAGAAGCUGAACUUAACUCCUAAUUAUUAGCCAGGUGUGAUCUUCUCCUCAUCAUAUUGCUUGCUGUUUCAUUUACUUUUUUUCACUAGCUGUUACUUAUUCCCCUCCUGCCUUCACAUGGUACAUUCCAUCUCAUAUAUAUAUAUUUCUCUCACAUAUUGGUGGUUCAGCCUCCCCUGCCCUCUCUCUCUCUCNN